CAGUCGCGGAAGGAGCGAGCAACGAGCGUAUACACGUGUCGUUGUGUUACUGUGCAACGCUCGCACAGAAAGAAAAAACGCUGGUAGGUCAUCCCUCGCACAGAACGAUUCUUUUUCUCUCCCUCUCUCACUUUCCACCCCAACCUAGGGUUGCCGCCGCCGCCGCCGCCCCCGCCCCCAUCGCUUCUCUAGCGCUGCCCAUCAGAGGACGGCCGUUUCUCCGCUGCUUCUUCUCUCGCCCUGCUCCAUCCCGACCAGCGCCACCGCCGCCCCUUUUCUCUCGUCUACGGGCGAGCCGUCACCCGUGAGGUGAGACGUCGUCUCCCGGCCAGGACAUAGCGGCAGAGAGGAGCAAGGAAGCAGCAGGGGAAGUCCAAUUGGAAAAGUUAGUGGCGCUACAGAUUUCUUGCUCCCUUGGUCGACGGGGAUGCGGUUUUCGUUGGUGGUGGUGGGAGGGGAACAUGCGUGGCGGUGACGGGAGGACCAUCAGAAGAAGAGGAGGAUGGGGAACAGGGGAGGAGGCCAAGCGGGGAGGAGAGACGUGAAGCAUUCAUUUGCUGCCGUUUCUCCAGAUCCAGAGCAAAUAUGGGAGCUCCAGCAAGGCCUUGGUUCAGAACCAGUCCAUAUGCGAGACAAUAUUUGAGAGGGUGUCUGAUUUCAUUGGACCUUUUUGCAUUGUUUCCCAAAAAGGAUGAGCCUAGAGGCACGAGACCAUUAUAAUUCAAUCCAUUAUUUAAUUUUACUUUUUGAAAAGGUAGAGUAUAUUGUGUUUGAUAUGCUUUCUGGUUUUAAUUAACAGAAAGGGAUAUGUGACGUUUUGUUUACUCUUCUGUGUGUAACUUCAGAGUAAAACUGUUGUUUUGUGCACUUCCUUUACCUCCUCUUUCCAGCUACCAAGUUUCCUAAUUUUUUAAUGGAAGCCUUAUCCUAAAUAAGAAUUCAAUUUUGUUGCUUGAGAUUUUGACUCGAUCCUGUCCUGCUUUGGAUAAAAUAUUUACCAAGAAUCUGUACUUGCCAGUCUAUUUGUUGAAUAUGGAGAUUAACAAUGUAUUGUUGUCUCACCUAUAUACCCAUUGUUCAUUUUCUUCUUUGGAGGUUCUGAUGUUGCAACCAAUGAGCCUUUGCUCAGGAAAGAUGCUUCUAAGCCAUCUGAUAUGAGCGAUGUUGCACCACAAUGUUCUGUACAUUCAGAGAAGCAUGCAGGAAGAAUUGCAAUACUUCACCACUACCCUUGAUCUUUACUAAAAAUAUAAUGUGCCAUCGACUCAUUAGGAAAUGCUGGCGAUUUGAGAUAUCUUGAUCUCCAACAGUAAAUAGUAUGCAUCAAGUGAUGUCAUUGAUACUAUCAAACAGGCUUUUGGUUGUUCACCGCACGCAGAUCAUCUGCAAGAAGGGUUCAGUUCAGGAACUAAGGUUAUGCGUCACCAAUGAUUUGAAGUUGAGUUAUCUUUUGUCCUUGGACAGGCCUCCUUGUGAGAACACAACUUCACUGCUUUAAGAAUAAUGUUGUCAUGAGUCAAAACCUUUCUAAAUGAUGUCCAACAUGCAGGCCGAUAGGAAUCCUCAAUGUUUGCCUUGAAGAACUAUUAAUGUGAUCUUGAUUACCGUAAUGCACUGUUCUUAACAAUGAUUACCAACAACAACACCAUUUUAAAUAUUAAAUAUGAAAACUAAUGACAAACUGGUAUGGUGAGAAAGCUUGAAAGAGAGAAGGACAUGCAAAGAAGAUUUGAGCAAACAUGAAAAAUAUAGAGGAUAAAUAUCGAGGAUCGAAUCCUGCUUGGAAUCACUUCAUGCAAGGUGUUUUCAUGUUUUGCAAUCAUACCUUCACAAUAUAUGUAAUAGGUAAUAUGUGGUCAAAAGGGUGUUCGCAAGGUGUAUGGUGUUUUCAUGUUGGAGGUGAUUUUUUUACCAAUAAUUGAGCAGCGGCUGUGAUCUGAGGAAUAUAACAGUUGUCCAGCGAGGGAAAAAAAUCUUAGUGGGUGAAAGCUGAAGUGUUUAACAAAUUGACAGGAGGUUCAUGUGAAUUCUGUAGGCACUGGUAUAUACAAUGGUUUAGCUAGAUAAUUUAUAAUGUUGGUAAAAUUUGUCUGUUUAUUCUUUUGAUCUGAAUGGCAUGGAAAAUAUUGAUUCGUUUCAUUUUGUCAGUUUUUUAUGUGGUGCUCAGUAAUGCUUGAUUUAUGUUAAUUAAGCCAAUGCUUUCACUUGUUCCAGGGAACGAAAAACAAAUGACAGACUACCAAAUGUUAUUUUGCUAACAGUAGAGGGCCAAUGUUAACUCGUGCAAGAAUGGUUGUACACAGAGGCGCCAAGGUGCUCCAGCAAUACAAGGGCGCACAGCUCCGCCUCAAGAGGCGCGCCAAGGGCGCGCCCCAGCCCCUAGUGCCCAGAUCCAAGAUCUGGUGUUUAGCCUUGCUCCAAGUAAAGCCAUAGCCUCCAAACAGAUGGUGCAUAUGAAUCAAGGACAAGGGGAAACAAGCUAUGCACACAACUCCAGUGUCCAGAACGCUCAGCAGAACAGGAUGAUGCCCCUGAUAGAAGCGGCCAUCAUUGACUUGUGCGGCAGCAGAAGCACCUUGUUCCCUGAAAAGAUGCUGAUUGCGGACUUGGGCUGCUCUUAUGGCCCAAAUGCGCUAGCACUGGUAUCGACUGCCGUCAAGGCCAUCAUCAACCACUGCCUUCAGUUCCAGCAACCACCACCCGAAGUGUGUGUGCUCCUCAAUGACCUUCCUGACAAUGACUUCAACACGGUGGUGAAGAGCCUGGCCACGCUCCGUCAAAGUAACAACAAGCUCUUCACUAGUGACUCCUUGCAUCUUGUCUGCUCGUCCAACAGCUUGCAUUGGCUCUCCAUGGCUCCCGAAGAUCUGACGAUGAACCAGAUCCCUGCGUACGACAUGGAUGAACAUGCUAGGCGUGAAAGACUCCCUAUGGUCCGUGAGGCUUAUGCACGUCAGUUCAGGAAACAUUUCAUACUUUUCCUGGAGCUGAGAGCCAAAGAAUUGGUCCCAGGAGGCCGAAUGGUUGUUUCCCUUGUAGGGCGGCCUUCUAAUGUAAAAGCCUCCAAAUUCUUUCACCUUUGGGAAACCUUAGUUCAGAUUCUAAGUGUCAUGGCCUUAGAGGGUGUGAUCGACAAAGCGAAGUUUGAUUCUUUCUAUGUGCCGGUGUAUGGACCCUCUGGUGAAGAGCUGAGGGAGAUCAUCCAAGACGAGGGCUCCUUUUCUAUCAGCGAUAUGCGGGUAUAUGACGCUGCAACUGAUAUGAACAGCAUGCUCUUCACCCCAAGCUCGUUUGUGAAUUAUCUGAGAGCCAUAUUUGAGCCGAUAAUAGUCGAGCAUUUUGGAGAGGUCAUGGAUGAAUUUGUGAGGACCGCGGAGCGGCGCUGGAGCCUCGAGGGCAGCAUGCAAGACGAGCGUGCUAGAAAUCCACGAGCUAUGCUGGCUGUAUCCCUUGUAAAGGCAUGAUUAUCAGGUCACACUGAUGGAUUGUCUUGUGCAAGAAGUUCUAUUGCCUGGCAACAUGGCCUUGUGGGGAUCCGAUUUGGAUGGACAUGUCGUUGACACACUGUUCUGGGAGAAAGAUAGAUGGAUGGUAGUGUCCAGGCGUCGAGCCGAACACACCUGUCUGCCGUCUCUAAGGCUUUGUACCCUGUUACUUACCUCUUAAGAGGUUGAGCAGGUCUGUUGGUUCAUGGGAGGGUUACAGGAGGAUGUUCAAGUAGGUACUCCCUCCGUCCCAAAAUUCUUGUCUUAGAUUUGUCUAAAUACGGAUGUAUCAGUUGGAGGAGGUCUUAAGGCAACGUACAGGGUCUUUAAUCUGUGAUGUACCAGCGCCUCUCUCUCUCUGAGUUCUUCAAGUCUGGGCGCAUCUAUGGGCAUUCCUCUGCUAGCUUUGUUUCUUUGUCCCGGCAAUGGAGCCUGUGAGCUACGCUCGUCGCAUCACUUGGGAAGGCAUGGCCAGUCGUAACGUGUUAUUUAUUUCCAAAUAUUCUAUUCGAUCAGGAGAUUAGGAAUGAAACACAGACAAAAACUUACAAGAGAUUGGAGGGAGGAUAACAGCAGAAACAGAACUGAAACUAAGUGCUCAGACUGCUUGAGAUUGUAACACUUAUUCUUAGUAGUCAAUAGAGCUCUCUUUUCUCACGGAAAGAUAACAAUUGUGUUGUUUGUUCAUGUAGCUCCUUAGUAAUAGCACGUAGUUAGUCUUGGUGAUAAUUGACGGUUUGACACUACUGUAAUAUUCACUGUGUGAUCCAUGACAAUAUUUGAACACUCCAAUUUAUUGUUCUUAUUC
rnacentral:rRNA from 1 species